rnacentral:rRNA from 1 species
AGAGAGAGACAUGCGCGCAUAUCAAUAAGCGGAGGAAAAGAAACUAACUAAGGAUUCCCUCAGUAACGGCGAGUGAAGCGGGAAGAGCUCAAAUUUGAAAUCUUCAAGGUUUCUACCUUGACGAAUUGUAGUUUAAAGAAGUGUUUUCUGUUGAAGUUUUGGUAAAAGUUCUUUGGAAUAGGACAUCAUAGAGGGUGAGAAUCCCGUAUUUGACCAUUACUUUCCAACUUUGUGAUACACUUUCAAAGAGUCGGAUUGUUUGGGGAUGCAGUCCAAAAUGGGUGGUAAAUUUCAUCUAAAGCUAAAUACUGGCGAGAGACCGAUAGCGAACAAGUACCGUGAGGGAAAGAUGAAAAGAACUUUGAAAAGAGAGUUAAACAGUACGUGAAAUUGUCAAAAGGGAAGCGUUUGACACCAGUGUUGUUUUCUCGAAAAUCAAUUAAAAAAGGCAGGAUUUUGUGUUGUAUUGACUUUAUCAGCUUUCUGCACUCUUUUCUUGUCUUUUUUAAUGCACUUUUCGUUUAACAAGUCAACAUCAAUUUCUUUUGUUGUAAAAGGGUCAUUGGAAGGUGGCUUUCUUUUCGGAGAAAGUGUUUAUAGCCUUUGGCCUCUGCAAUCGGAGAGAUUGAGGUCUGCAGCGUAGAUCCUUCGGGGUUAGAUACAUUUGUGCUAAGUUAUAGCCUUUCAUAGACAACUUGUUGACUAUGAUCAGUCAUGUAGCUUACUCGCUUAUGCUAUUUUACCUACGCUUAGGAUGUUGAUGUGAUACUGCGAGCA